rnacentral:rRNA from 1 species
AGAGUUUGAUCCUGGCUCAGAACGAACGUUAGCGGCGCGCCUAACACAUGCAAGUCGUGCGAGAAAGGGCUUCGGCCCCGGUAAAGCGGCGCACGGGUGAGUAACACGUAGGUCAUCUACCCCCGAGUGGUGGACAACUCUCCGAAAGGAGGGCUAAUACAGCAUAAGACCACGAGCCUUCGGGCUCGCGGCCAAAGCGGGCCUCUGCAUGCAAGCUCGCGCUUGAGGAUGAGCCUGCGGCCCAUCAGCUAGUUGGUAGGGUAACGGCCUACCAAGGCAGAGACGGGUAGCUGGUCUGAGAGGAUGAACAGCCACACUGGAACUGAGACACGGUCCAGACUCCUACGGGAGGCAGCAGUGGGGAAUCUUGCGCAAUGGGCGAAAGCCUGACGCAGCGACGCCGCGUGAGCGAUGAAGGCCCUCGGGUUGUAAAGCUCUGUGGGGAGGAAAGAAUAAGGACGGGCCAAUACCCCGCCCGAUGACGGUACCUCCUUAGCAAGCACCGGCUAACUCUGUGCCAGCAGCCGCGGUAAGACAGAGGGUGCAAACGUUGUUCGGAAUUACUGGGCGUAAAGCGCGUGUAGGCGGCCAUGCAAGUCGGGUGUGAAAGCCCUCGGCUCAACUGAGGAAGUGCACCCGAAACUACGUGGCUGGAGUCCUGGAGAGGAAGGUGGAAUGCUCGGUGUAGAGGUGAAAUUCGUAGAUAUCGAGCGGAACACCGGUGGCGAAGGCGGCCUUCUGGACAGUGACUGACGCUGAGACGCGAAAGCGUGGGGAGCAAACAGGAUUAGAUACCCUGG